rnacentral:rRNA from 1 species
GUCUCGUUGGUGACAGCGGAGGGAUCAUUACUGAGUUCCGCUCUCAACCCUUUGUGAACAUACCUAACCGUUGCUUCGGCGGGCAGGGGAAGCCCUUCGCGGGCGAACCCUCCCGGCGCCGGCCCCAUCACGGGGGCGGAGCGCCCGCCGGAGGAAAUCAAACUCUAUUUACACGACGUCUCUUCUGAGUGGCACAAGCAAAUAAUUAAAACUUUUAACAACGGAUCUCUUGGUUCUGGCAUCGAUGAAGAACGCAGCGAAAUGCGAUAAGUAAUGUGAAUUGCAGAAUUCAGUGAAUCAUCGAAUCUUUGAACGCACAUUGCGCUCGCCAGCAUUCUGGCGAGCAUGCCUGUUCGAGCGUCAUUUCAACCCUCAAGCACCGCUUGGUUUUGGGGCCCCACGGUCGACGUGGGCCCUUAAAGGUAGUGGCGGACCCUCCCGGAGCCUCCUUUGCGUAGUAACUAACGUCUCGCACUGGGAUCCGGAGGGACUCUUGCCGUUAAACCCCCAAAUUUUUUCAGGUUGACCUCGGAUCAGGUAGGACUACCCGCUGAACUUAAGCAUAUCAAUAAGCGGAGGAAAAGAAACCAACAGGGAUUGCCCCAGUAACGGCGAGUGAAGCGGCAACAGCUCAAAUUUGAAAUCUGGCCCCAGGCCCGAGUUGUAAUUUGCAGAGGAUGCUUUUGGCGCGGUGCCUUCCGAGUUCCCUGGAACGGGACGCCAUAGAGGGUGAGAGCCCCGUACGGUUGGACACCAAGCCUUUGUAAAGCUCCUUCGACGAGUCGAGUAGUUUGGGAAUGCUGCUCUAGAUGGGAGGUACAUUUC